UACAGAGGUCCCGAGCGUUGUUCGGAUUCACUGGCGUAAAGGGUGCGUAGGUGGCAUAGAAAGUUUGAUGUGAAAGCUCAGGGCUUAACCCUGAAAUGGGCAUUGAAUACUGCUGUGCUGGAGGUUUGGAGGGGGACUGGAAUUCUUGGUGUAGCAGUGAAAUGCGUAGAUAUCAAGAGGAACACCAGUGGCGAAGGCGAGUCCCUGGACAACACCUGACACUGAGGCGCGAAGGCGUGGGGAGCGAACGGGG
rnacentral:rRNA from 1 species